rnacentral:rRNA from 1 species
GAAAAGGAGGGGCGGGGGGCCGGGGUAAUACGGGGGUGGCAGGGGGUGUUCGGAAUUAGUGGGCGUGAAGCGCGGGCAGGCGGGCCGUUAAGGCGGCUGGGAAAGCCCACGGCUGAACCGGGGAGGGUCAGUGGAAACUGGGGGACUUGAGUGCAGAAGAGGAAAGCGGAAUUCCACGUGUAGCGGUGAAAUGCGUAGAGAUGUGGAGGAACACCAGUGGCGAAGGCGGCUUUCUGGUCUGUAACUGACGCUGAGGCGCGAAAGCGUGGGGAGCAAACAGGAUUAGAUACCCGUGUAGUC